rnacentral:rRNA from 1 species
AACGAACGCUGGCGGCAUGCCUAACACAUGCAAGUCGAACGAGAUCUUCGGGUCUAGUGGCGCACGGGUGCGUAACGCGUGGGAAUCUGCCCUUUGGUUCGGAAUAACAGUUGGAAACGACUGCUAAUACCGGAUGAUGACGAAAGUCCAAAGAUUUAUCGCCAGAGGAUGAGCCUGCGUAGGAUUAGCAAGUUGGUGUGGUAAAGGCGCACCAAGGCGACGAUCCUUAGCUGGUCUGAGAGGAUGAUCAGCCACACUGGGACUGAGACACGGCCCAGACUCCUACGGGAGGCAGCAGUGGGGAAUAUUGGACAAUGGGCGAAAGCCUGAUCCAGCAAUGCCGCGUGAGUGAUGAAGGCCUUAGGGUUGUAAAGCUCUUUUACCCGGGAUGAUAAUGACAGUACCGGGAGAAUAAGCUCCGGCUAACUCCGUGCCAGCCGCCGCAGUAA